rnacentral:lncRNA from 1 species
AUGGAUGUUGGGUCUCCCUUCCGGCCGUGGCCCACGUACGACCCCUUUUCCCUUCAAGUCAGGACCUCGGGGAACUUUCACAAGAUGGGUCCUCGGAGCCUGGCUGCGAUUGCCCUCCCAAGGGGUGCUGCUGCGGAGGAUAGGCGCGCUGGUCAAGACCAAAGCGAACGGGAUGACGCCACCGGAGGGCGCGCGGGGCCGCGGGGUAGGGCGGUUCUGCUGCUGCAGGCUUCAGGCCUCUUCUGCCUUCUACAGCGGCCAGGUCAGCAGAGGCGGAGGCCCGGCUGUGGAUGGCCUAGGAGCCGAAGUCGUGAAGCCACGUUCCUCCUACUGCUCUUAACCCAGGCGCGGCGACUUGCCGACCAGCUCCCCUCACUCCGAAACCCCAUGGCAACAAAGGGCCUUGUGCUCACUCUAGCAGAGCGUCCUGCCUUUGUCUCUGAUCCAGCCUGGUGCGUCAGUCUCUGCAAACAAAAGAUGUGGUCACCCGGCCACUUAUCCCUGCCCCCACCAAAGCAGUAAUGAAGGCUGAGGCCUCUCCAAUUGAGCUGAGCCAGGAAAGCAGCAGACAGACAGGAAGCCCUUCUGCAGCAGGAGCUGUAACUGAUUCAGUCUCUGCCUCUGUAACCUUCCAGUUGAGCUGGAGAUGCUGAAGCUCCUGGAUCCUCUGUGCUUCUUCAUCUGAACACUCUCUGGGUGAGCUCAUCCAUGCUUUCAGCUUCAAUUCCCACCUCCCAGAGGAAGACUUCUAGAGAAG